UAAUAAAUACACAUCAGCAAUAUUACUGAGUAAAACCUCAACCCUUACGAAUAAAUAUAUGACUGGUGUCGCAAUGAUGAAUAAUAUGCGCAGUAUCAAAUACUGGUCCUGGAUGGGCGCGUUUUCACUGUCGAUCCUUUUCUGGUGCCAGCUAAUCUGGAUGACAAUCAACUGAUUGCUUAAAAACCCCGCCUGUGUGCGGGGUUUUUUAU
rnacentral:sRNA from 1 species